rnacentral:misc_RNA from 1 species
GAUGAAAGAACGUAGCGAAAUGCGAUAAGUAAUGUGAAUUGCAGAAUUCAGUGAAUCAUCGAAUCUUUGAACGCACAUUGCGCCCGCCAGUAUUCUGGCGGGCAUGCCUGUCUGAGCGUCAUUUCAACCCUCAUGCCCCUAGGGCGUGGUGUUGGGGAUCGGCCAAAGCCCGCGAGGGACGGCCGGCCCCUAAAUCUAGUGGCGGACCCGUCGUGGCCUCCUCUGCGAAGUAGUGAUAUUCCGCAUCGGAGAGCGACGAGCCCCUGCCGUUAAACCCCCAACUUUCCAAGGUUGACCUCAGAUCAGGUAGGAAUACCCGCUGAACUUAAGCAUAUCAAUAAGCGGAGGA